ensembl:lncRNA
CUGGUGUGGAGGCUGUUUGUCUCUAGUUUUUUUAAUUAAAGUCUUGAGUGCAAAGAUCUGUUAUAGUCUUGAGGACCAAAACAGAAAACACCCUGGGAGAAGUAGCACUGUGAGAGGUAGAAGUUCAAGGUGCUAUUUUACUUUUUCUCACUGUGAAGAGACAAGCUAUUCUCACUGGAGCUCAGCCUUAAACUUUUGGGUUUUGCUGAUUUCCUUCUCUUCAGAAGAUGUACCCAGAAAAGUAGUUCCAGGAAAGCAAGAGGAGGGUGCUUUUCUGUGAAUACAGCAAGUCUGGUGCAGUUAAUGCAGCAUCAAGAAAGCUGACUACAGCUCACUUAGAUCCACUUUUUACUACAAGCCAGAUGUCAGAGCCAGCAGAAGUGCUGGUAUUUGCCUUCCAAAUGAAUGAGACAGCAGAAAUGUGGAGCACCAUCUUCAUCAAAGUGUGAAUUGAAGAAAUAUCUCAAAGAAAUUUCUCCCAGACUGCAUUCGCUACUCUAUGAAAUCUACAGAUGUGAAGAUGCUUUGAAGAGGUGGUAGCAUAGCUAUAGCUGCAACGAAAGAAUAAGCAAGGAUGUGAUUUUUUCUUCUUAAAAGAUCACAGUCUGUUAUCAUAGCUGAGCUUGUUAUCCACCACAAACGUUUAUCCAUGCAAAAAAAAUGGGUCUCUGAGCAAUGAAACCAGGUCUGUGAAUCUGUGAAUCUGCAAACAAGUUCAAGAAAGAAAUAAAGAUGAGAAUUUUCUGUUGGAAGUAUUGAGCGAUGACUUAUCACCUUCUUCAAAGCGAGAAUUUCUUUCC